rnacentral:rRNA from 1 species
UACGAAGGGGGCUAGCGUUGCUCGGAAUUACUGGGCGUAAAGCGCGCGUAGGCGGCUUUGCAGGUCGGGUGUGAAAUCCCCAGGCUUAACCUGGGAACUGCAUUCGAGACUGCAUUGCUAGAGUAUGGGAGAGGGAAGUGGAAUUUCCGGUGUAGCGGUGAAAUGCGUAGAUAUCGGAAGGAACAUCAGUGGCGAAAGCGACUUCCUGGACCAAUACUGACGCUCAUGUGCGAAAGCGUGGGGAGCAAACAGG